rnacentral:pre_miRNA from 1 species
UUAAAUCAAAUUUGUAUGAAGUUGGAACAUUUGCCUACGUUUGCCGCUAGGGGCGCUGUUCCAACUGCAUACAAAUUCGAGUUA